GCGCUCUUUUCUGCUGGUUCCUUAAGAACCGAAUGAAAUGGGCCCGUAUACGUUGUACCAGAUAUCUUUACUCAUAAUUAAACUGUCACUUGUCAUACAAUAGACCACCUUGUCUGAAUCGAUCCUUGACCGGCUCACCCUCCUACAUAUCCCAUUAUUAACAGAAACUUGGUAGCAGAAGGAUGGUUUACUAACGACCCAGUCCAGAGUGGUUGAUGUGGGUGUGAGGGGGCGAGUUGGUGAAAGGACGGUUCCCGGAGGACAGGUGAAAACCAUUCGGGGGUGGACAACAAUUCUGCUCAACUCGGGAAACUGAUCUCUGGUCGACCACAAAAUAAGCUCUCUCCAAACAGAUACACCGUGUCGCAGAGAGGGAGCUGACUGACGUCCCGGAACAACCAAGGGUAAAAGUUGGGGACUGGGUAAGGAUCAAGGUCCACAAGAGAAAGUGGGCUGAUCCCAGGUGGACUGGACCGUACGAAGUGAAGGAGGUUACUUCACACUCAGUCCAGGUCAAAGGUAAAUUAGGCGCACCUUGGCACCACCUGACACAUUGUACACCAGCCCCAACCCCUGCCAGAACUCUGGCUGAAGUAAGAAGUGAUUUACUCACAUCCAAUUCGAAUUCAAAUUCUGACAUCCCUCCCGUCUGAUCAUGUGGAGGAGACUCCCAUCCUCAGAUGAUAGGGACACUAGAGUAGCACCAUGGGCUAGAAGGGCUAGGAGACCAUGGGAAAGACUGGGUUGUUCUGGCCCAUUGUUUGUCCUAAUUAUAGUCAAUGUUGUUUUGACAUUGGGAGUAAUGAUAUGGGCAGCCCAGCGUAUAAUCACUGACCAGGAACAGACUACCCAGCUAAACAUCACCAAUGCUUCAAUAUUCUCGGAUACGCAUGUUCUGUCUAAACGUCAAGUUCAGAAUAAUGACUUUGAGUGUACUGCAGAAUUGAUUAGGUCAGCUACUCUGUGUAUCCCGCCUAACGCUACUACCACUGUUAUACUUACCUGGGGUGUUAUUGGAAGCCCAGGUGGCGGUUAUGGUACUCAUGCAAUCAGUUGGUCUAGAUCAGUGUGGUACAUGACAGAAGGGGGGUAUAAUAAAUGGACGUGGAAGAAUUUAGUGGCAGAGACUGGUCCUGACUGGUCUAGCUGGACAGUGCAUCAGAUGGCACUCCUGUGGCGGAGCAGGUUGACGUUAACUAAA